GACGAACCGUGCGACCGUUAUUCGGAAUCACUGGGCUUAAAGGGCGCGUAGGCGGGCCGCCAGGUCCGGGGUGAAAGCCUCCAGCUCAACUGGAGAAGUGCCUUGGAUACCGGCGGCCUCGAGGGAGGCAGGGGCGUGCGGAACUUCGGGUGGAGCGGUGAAAUGCGUAGAUAUCCGAAGGAACACCGGUGGCGAAAGCGGCGCGCUGGACCUCUUCUGACGCUGAGGCGCGAAAGCCAGGGGAGCAAACGGG
rnacentral:rRNA from 1 species